GAUCCAGUCCCGUGCGGCGAAAUCCCGUGAACCCCGCCAGGUCCGGAAGGAAGCAACGGUAAGCGGAUCGUUUCGGGCGCCACGGGGUCGCUGGGUCCCC
rnacentral:SRP_RNA from 1 species